GCCAGAGCACAUACAGACGUCACGCACCGGAUGCCGUGCAUGCGCUCAGGGCAGUUGGACAUAGUGGUGUAUUAGAGAUUGUGUGCCCAGGACUGACAGACUGCAACGAUUUGAGUUAAAAAUCUUUGUUUGUGUUCUACUGAAGAAUCAAAGUCACCUACAUCUUGGAUGCCCUGGGGGCACCAGCUUCAAGUUUAUGGCGUUAUCCGAAGGAACAGCUGCCGGGAGGAAUCACAUGUCCAAGUCCUGUCCAGGUGAUUUCCCCAGCACCUGGGCCGUGUCAGCAGAACCGUCGGUCAGCCCGCGGGAAGCUCACGCUGACCUCUUUUAUGCGGAAGAGAGAGUUUUGAGCAGUCUGUUUGCCUGUUGUGUGGAUGUGUUUUUUUUGUUUUUUUUUUGACAAGCCGAAGCAUGUGCACUCGUGCAGACAGUGAUACAGACCAACUGGCUGCUUCAAAACGCUAAAGAAUCUUACCAGACAAGAACCACACUACUGCAGCCAGGUUUCAUCAAUGCAAUGCAUGACAUCAGAAGCUGUUGUCCCUCAUUGCAUCACUACAAGAGUGACGCAUAGUAAAUAUAUAAUUCAAAAACUAAUAUAUCUCAAUCAUAGACUGCAAUGUGAUUAAAUGGAGAGUGUGGCUGGAAAAUUUCCCUCUGGACUAGUUUAUUUGCACAGUAGUGCGUUAAGCAGCUGUUUAUGUGUCCUUGUGUUGUGAUUGAGAGUACCAUAAACACGCUCCUACCAAAUUUUAUUUGGAAAUAAUAGUGUGACAUUGGUUGUUUAUGGAAAACCACUGGCUUUUGGGAAUAAGGCACAGUCUGUAAUUGGCCACAUUUACAAAAGAGGUGUUUUUGCACUGAACAUGUAAUAUUGUUAAUACUACAAAUACAGUUUGAUGUUUCAUUGA